AUUGAACGCUGGCGGCAUGCUUUACACAUGCAAGUCGAACGGUAACAGGGAGCUUGCUCCGCUGACGAGUGGCGAACGGGUGAGUAAUGUAUCGGAACGUGCCCAGUCGUGGGGGAUAACGCAGCGAAAGCUGUGCUAAUACCGCAUACGAUCUAUGGAUGAAAGCGGGGGACUCGCAAGGGCCUCGCGCGAUUGGAGCGGCUGAUAUCAGAUUAGGUAGUUGGUGAGGUAAAGGCUCACCAAGCCUGCGAUCUGUAGCUGGUCUGAGAGGAAGACCAGCCACACUGGAACUGAGAAACGGUCCAGACUCCUACGGGGGGCAGCAGUGGGGAAUUUUGGACAAUGGGCGCAAGCCUGAUCCAGCAAUGCCGCGUGCAGGAUGAAGGCCUUCGGGUUGUAAACUGCUUUUGUACGGAACGAAAAGGUUCUCUCUAAUACAGGGGGCCCAUGACGGUACCGUAAGAAUAAGCACCGGCUAACUACGUGCCAGCCGCCGCCGUAACAC
rnacentral:rRNA from 1 species